GACGAACGCUGGCGGCGUGCCUAAUACAUGCAAGUCGAGCGGACGAAUCGAAAGCUUGCUUUUGAUUCGUUAGCGGCGGACGGGUGAGUAACACGUGGGCAACCUGCCCUGUAGACGGGGAUAACACCGAGAAAUCGGUGCUAAUACCGGAUAACACGAAAUGUCGCAUGACGUUUCGUUGAAAGACGGCGCAAGCUGUCGCUACAGGAUGGGCCCGCGGCGCAUUAGCUAGUUGGUGAGGUAACGGCUCACCAAGGCGACGAUGCGUAGCCGACCUGAGAGGGUGAUCGGCCACACUGGGACUGAGACACGGCCCAGACUCCUACGGGAGGCAGCAGUAGGGAAUCUUCCGCAAUGGACGAGAGUCUGACGGAGCAACGCCGCGUGAGCGAAGAAGGCCUUCGGGUCGUAAAGCUCUGUUGUUAGGGAAGAACAAGUAACGCAGUAACUGGCGUUACCGUGACGGUACCUAACGAGAAAGCCACGGCUAACUACGUG
rnacentral:rRNA from 1 species